rnacentral:lncRNA from 1 species
ACGACGACGACGAGGACGAGGAGGAGCGCAGCCUGCGGACGGCCCUCCAGGAGCUGCGGGUGGACGCGGCGCGGUGUGAGAGGACUGCAGGAGGACCGGCCGGUCUCUCACGGCACGGACGUUCCAGGUCUCCUGUCCUGUAUCCUCCCACGUUUACGCACUGCGGCACAAAACACAAAACCCGGUCACACACACCAAAGACUCACGUCCGUUCCAGGUCUCCUGUCCUGUAUCCUCCCACGUUUACGCACUGCGGCACAAAACACAAAACCCGGUCACACACACCAAAGACUCACGUCCGUUCCAGUGUUUGUGCUACAGCAGAACACGGC